rnacentral:rRNA from 1 species
GAUCAGUGGCGAACGGGUGAGUAACACGUGAGUAACCUGCCCCAGACUCUGGGAUAAGCCUUGGAAACGAGGUCUAAUACUGGAUAUGAGAUGCCCCUGCAUGGGGAGUGUCUGGAAAGAUUUAUCGGUCUGGGAUGGACUCGCGGCCUAUCAGCUUGUUGGUGGGGUAAUGGCCUACCAAGGCGACGACGGGUAGCCGGCCUGAGAGGGCGACCGGCCACACUGGGACUGAGACACGGCCCAGACUCCUACGGGAGGCAGCAGUGGGGAAUAUUGCACAAUGGGCGCAAGCCUGAUGCAGCGACGCCGCGUGAGGGAUGAAGGCCUUCGGGUUGUAAACCUCUUUCAGCAGGGAAGAAGCGCAAGUGACGGUACCUGCAGAAGAAGCGCCGGCUAACUACGUGCCAGCAGCCGCGGUAAUACGUAGGGCGCAAGCGUUGUCCGGAAUUAUUGGGCGUAAAGAGCUCGUAGGCGGUUUGUCGCGUCUGGUGUGAAAACUCAAGGCUCAACCUUGAGCUUGCAUCGGGUACGGGCAGACUAGAGUGCGGUAGGGGUGACUGGAAUUCCUGGUGUAGCGGUGGAAUGCGCAGAUAUCAGGAGGAACACCGAUGGCGAAGGCAGGUCACUGGGCCGCAACUGACGCUGAGGAGCGAAAGCAUG